rnacentral:tRNA from 1 species
UCCCUUGUAGCUCAGUCGGUAGAGAAUUUGCCUGCAGUGCAGGAGACCUGGGUUCGAUCCCAGGGUUGGGAA